rnacentral:hammerhead_ribozyme from 1 species
AUCCAGCUGACGGCUCAUGAAUAGGACGAAACGCGCGUCCUGGAU